CGGAUGGAUUAGGUAGAGGAAAGUGGCGAACGGGUGAGUAACGCGUGAGCAAUCUGCCUUUGGUACUGGGGGGAUAAACGUCGGGAAAACCGGCGCUAAUACCGCAUAAUACUAUGAGAUCGCAUGGUCAUAUAGUCAAAACUCCGGUGGUACAAGAUGAGCUCGCGUCCAAUUAGCUAGUUGGUGGGGUAAUGGCCCACCAAGGCGACGAUUGGUAGCCGAACUGAGAGGUUGAUCGGCCACAUUGGGACUGAGACACGGCCCAGACUCCUACGGGAGGCGGCAGUGGGGAAUAUUGCGCAAUGGAGGGAACUCUUAGACGCAGCAACGCCGCGUGAGUGAUGAAGGUCUUUGGAUUGUAAAGCUCUUUGAUUGGGGACGAAUAAAUGACGGUACCCAAAGAACAAGCCCCGGCUAACUAUGUGCCAGCCGCCGC
rnacentral:rRNA from 1 species